UACGAAGGGGGCGAGCGUUGUUCGGAAUUACUGGGCGUAAAGGGCGCGCAGGCGGCUCUGAAAGUCAGAUGUGAAAGCCCCGGGCUUAACCUGGGGAACUGCAUUUGAUACUCUAGAGCUUGAGUACGGGAGAGGAGAGUGGAAUUCCCAGUGUAGAGGUGAAAUUCGUAGAUAUUGGGAAGAACACCGGUGGCGAAGGCGGCUCUCUGGACCGUAACUGACGCUGAGGCGCGAAA
rnacentral:rRNA from 1 species